AUGAGAACAGAACCAGUGCACUGGGCAAGGGCAUAUUUUGCAGUUGGUUCCAACUGUGAGUCAGUGGAUAACAACUUGUGUGAAUCAUUCAAUCAUGCAAUUGUGGAUGCAAGGUUUUAUCCAUUAAUUUCCAUGCUAGAGAAAGUAAGGAAGAAAAUAUUUGCUAGAAUUCAAGAACAGAGGGCCAAAGGUGUGAAGUUUCAUGGAAAAGUAUGCCCUAGCAUAUUCAGAAAGUUUAAA
rnacentral:rRNA from 1 species